rnacentral:rRNA from 1 species
UGGGGAAUCUUCCGCAAUGGGCGAAAGCCUGACGGAGCAAUGCCGCGUGGAGGUGGAAGGCCUACGGGUCGUCAACUUCUUUUCUCGGAGAAGAAACAAUGACGGUAUCUGAGGAAUAAGCAUCGGCUAACUCUGUGCCAA